CUGAGCGUGAAAUUAAGUGACCGUGGUGUGUUAGUGAUUAAUUAAAUGGACGGCAUUUUGUGCAUAGCUUACAUUGCAAUCGAAGUUGAAAAACUAUUGAUAAUGAACCUUCCCGUAAUAAUAUUAUUCGCAAUGCUUAGUAAUGUGAUAGGUCAAACUAAGAAGUCAAAACCACCACUGGAGAUAUAUAUAUCCAAUUGGCAAGACUACAAUCUGCCUUCACCAAUAUUGGCUUCUAAAUUGAAAGAAAUUCUCGAUAAAAUCUCUCUAUAUAAAACUUUACAAUACUGCCCGUUCCCGAACAAAAAAUGCUACGAACAAUCGUAUAAAAGUGUCGUGGCGAAAAUAAUUAAGGACGUUCAGGAAAAAAAUAACUAUAAAGACAAAAAUACUACUAUCGAUAUAACGAAUAAUUGUCCAAACAGACUGAAAUAUGCAAAGAAAAAACAGCCAACAGAUCAAAAAAGAGUCUUCAGGACAAAGCCUAAACAUUCGAUAGCAUAUGGAAACCACUUAGUUCAAUUUUUUUAACAUAUUUUAACAAAUGACAAUUUUUAUUAAAAUAAUUUAAAUUUAUAGAAUUGUCGAUUCGUUUCGCGUGGUCGUAAUUUCGACAUUUCGGUAUAAAGCACGCAAAACGCCACGAAAUAUAUAUAUAUGUUAUAGAGAAUAAACGCCUUUUGAAUUUGUGUUUUAAUAUAAAACAAGUGUAUGUUUUAAAUACUAAGAACACGCAAGAAUUGAUUCAUAUUUGUACCCGUUAGUACAAUAAAUAAUACAAUUAUUUCCUUA